ACUUUAGCUUUCCCGAAAGAUACUCACUCGACAAUUAGUCGAUCCUAGAUGAAAUACAACUCUCGGAUUUCGAUAAUUCACUUCUUUACAUCCUCCCCUCCUUAAAGAAGUUUCGUCCUCGAAACUAACUCAAUUCUUAACUUUAACUCAAACCCAUACCUUACUCCUCAAAUAGAUGAGGAUGGUGCUUUCUUAUCAGAUCCUCGAGUUCCCAGGUGGCCUCGCGAUCAUCGUGAUUGCUCCACCUAACCUUCACAUAGGAAAUUUCUCGAUUUCUCAACCUUCGCACCUCUCGGGCGAUAAUCUCUACCGGA
rnacentral:lncRNA from 1 species